CUGAAGUCGAUCCCACAUGAUGGUCCAUAUUUUUGCUCUGGAAUUUGUAAGCUCAAAAUUCUAUGUUAAUGUGUGCAUUAUUGAUUCGCAAGUAACAUGGCACAAUUCGUCUUAGUGGAAGAGCAACACUGUGCACAUUGGAUUGCAUGGCUCGGCUCGACACUGUAUGCUCUAGGAUAUUCCUUCCUGAGAGAUAUUUUUAAGCAACUGGUCUUAAUCAGUUACCUUGGCGGUCUUUUGGCCACUUCCCAGCAAGUAGAUCUGGAGUUCAUAAAGGAGGGCUGCAUUGGACACUUGUGAAGGCUAGCUUUGUCGCUACAAGAAUUUCAGUCACUUCUCUUAACCAGGAAAUUGUUAGAGCCUUGGCAAGAGAAGGAAUACCAUAUGUUGGGAUGUCACCAUUUGCUUGUGGGUGGUCUACCAGUCAAAGAAAAGUGAACAAACUUGAAAACUAUUGCUUUCCUACCACAGACAUCUUCUUGGAUUUUUUUUAAUUGUUCUGACCUCUUAAUAAAUGGAUUAGAGACCUAACCCUCAGUCAACAAUCGAGAAGCACAGCUCAAUAAUAAAUCAAACAGAGACUUUUCACAUUUAGUUUCUUAUCCUGAUUAUUAUUCUAUAUAAGCAUGGAAUAGAAGUUGAACAUUGGUACUACCUCAUUCACAAAUAGUAUGUUUUAAUUACAUUACAGAACAAUUCAAACACUUGCAAGUUAGAAUAAAAGACAAACAGAAUGUUUUGAUCACAAACUCAAAGGACACUGUUGCUGCCAAAUUUUGAACCUCUUUAUUGGGUCCAGUACAAGUUCCAGUACGAUAAUAUCAGAUGUAGUCCUAUUUGACAUGUGCAUACCAGAGAUACAUAAUAAUUUUCACCGCAAUCUUUGAUUUUCCUAAUCCUAGCAAACCCAGAAAAAUGGACAGCUUGGAUAUUUAUUGCUGCUACAGGAAAAAAUGGCAUUUCAGACAGAGCAAAUUUAAUGCAUUGGACCUCUACUGACAUGUCCUGUCUUUUGUAGGAGUGUAGAGAUUAGCUCAAAAUGAUAUGAAAGUUAAAAGAACUUCAGCAUGGAUGCAGAAACAUGGAUUUUACAUGAAGCCUAAAUAGAUAUAUGUAUCACUCAUCACUUCAUCAGCAGUGACGCAUAAGAGAACAAUCAAGGCCCUGAAGUCCCAGCACACAGGCAUAUGGGGGACAUCAUAGCAGCAAGAUUCAUCAUUCCACUGGGCGUCUACUCAAAUUAAGAAUGUAUACAUAGCAAGUUCAAAAUCGUAUGAAAAAUUCAGAGAAGCUUCUUCAGCAUUAUUACAGUGAUAUAGAUUUUACUAUCAAGUCUACAUUAAUAUCAGCACCAGCAGGCCAGCAGUAACACCGAACAAGAAAAAUAAAGAAUCCACCUCCCAAGUCCUGUGAUGUCAAUAGAUAGUCAUACAUGUUCUUUAAAACACAAUAUCUAGAAUUCCUCACUUUUUUUUU